UCUUGACCUCGGAUCAGGUAGGGAUACCCGCUGAACUUAAGC
rnacentral:rRNA from 1 species